rnacentral:sRNA from 1 species
GCUGGGCAUGGUGGUGUACACCUGUAAUCUCAGCAGCUCGGGAGGCUGAGGCAGGAGGAUCGGGAGUUCAAAGCUAACCUCAGCAAUUUAGCGAGGCCCUAAGCAACUCAGUGAGACCCUGUCUCUA